rnacentral:sRNA from 1 species
UUUCAAAAACCAAAAAAAA